AGACUGAAGGGACUCUCAUUCUUGCUGGUUUCUAGUCAUUCUGAGGUUCAAGGAAGAAAGCUGGCUGACUCAGAGCACAGAUGGUGUUACCUUCAUAUGGGGCACGGGAGAAGAUGUAUACAGCAGAAAACCCACUACACUGCUGGCCCUUAGAGACGAAACUGAAGAUGCAAGUGCAGCGAUCUCAGUGACCAAGGUUACCCCUCUGCACUAAUGCCUGGAAGCUGAUGGCUGCCACUCUGAGCACCUCUUUGAGCAUGUCUUCUAGAGGGCAAAGGGCUGGAUAUCGCUGGGCUGUUAGAUGCUGAACUUGUGAAUGUGGACGUGUAGAAGGCAGCCCAGGCAUCCAGAUGUAAGGAAGGUCUAACUCUUUCUGUAUUGUGGAUGGAG